UAGGGAAUCUUCCACAAUGGACGCAAGUCUGAUGGAGCAACGCCGCGUGAGUGAAGAAGGUUUUCGGAUCGUAAAGCUCUGUUGUUGGUGAAGAAGGAUAGAGGUAGUAACUGGCCUUUAUUUGACGGUAAUCAACCAGAAAGUCACGGCUAACUACGUGCCAGCAGCCGCGGUAAUACGUAGGUGGCAAGCGUUGUCCGGAUUUAUUGGGCGUAAAGCGAGCGCAGGCGGAAGAAUAAGUCUGAUGUGAAAGCCCUCGGCUUAACCGAGGAAUUGCAUCGGAAACUGUUUUCUUGAGUGCAGAAGAGGAGAGUGGAACUCCAUGUGUAGCGGUGGAAUGCGUAGAUAUAUGGAAGAACACCAGUGGCGAAGGCGGCUCUCUGGUCUGCAACUGACGCUGAGGCUCGAAAGCAUGGGUAGCGAACAGGAUUAGAUACCCUGGUAGUCCAUGCCGUAAACGAUGAGUGCUAAGUGUUGGGGAGGUUUUCCGCCUCUCAGUGCUGCAGCUAACGCAUUAAGCACUCCGCCUGGGGGAGUACGACCGCAAGGUUGAAGCUCAAAGUGAAUUGAC
rnacentral:rRNA from 1 species